rnacentral:rRNA from 1 species
CCUACGGGGGGCAGCAGUGGGGAAUAUUGCACAAUGGGGGGAACCCUGAUGCAGCGACGCCGCGUGAGUGAAGAAGUAUUUCGGUAUGUAAAGCUCUAUCAGCAGGGAAGAAAAUGACGGUACCUGACUAAGAAGCCCCGGCUAACUACGUGCCAGCAGCCGCGGUAAUACGUAGGGGGCAAGCGUUAUCCGGAUUUACUGGGUGUAAAGGGAGCGCAGACGGCUGUGCAAGUCUGGAGUGAAAGGCGGGGGCCCAACCCCCGGACUGCUCUGGAAACUGUAAAGCUGGAGUGCAGGAGAGGUAAGCGGAAUUCCUAGUGUAGCGGUGAAAUGCGGAGAUAUUAGGAGGAACACCAGUGGCGAAGGCGGCUUACUGGACUGCAACUGACGUUGAGGCUCGAAAGCGUGGGGAGCAAACAGGAUUAGAUACCCCUGUAGUC